rnacentral:lncRNA from 1 species
UGCAACGUUUCCUUAAUAAACAUUCACUCUGCAGUUUCGAGCAAAGUGGCCAGGCUUGCCACACCUGUAACACGACCAACUUCGUGUUCCAUCUUUCGACUUCUCUUGACUUCUUCUCCUGUCUCCAUUGUCUUCUUCUUUCUUCCAAUUCUUGGGCUUUUUCUUUUGAUCAUUAAUGUUGGGCUUCUUCUUCCCUUUUCCCAAGAAUAGAGCUUCUUCGCUUUCCUUAAUGGUGACCCUGGCCAUCUGCUUUGCCAAAGUCUCUUGAUUAAUCGAGAUAUUUUCCAACUCCAGCAAUGUGGGUUGUGUCG